GUGCUGGCUUUGGCUGCACAUAUACUAAAACUGGAAUGAUACAGACAAGAUCAGCAUGGCCCUUGUAUAAGGACGACAAGCAAAUUUGUGAAGCGUUCCAUUUUUUU